rnacentral:rRNA from 1 species
UACGUAGGCAGCAAGCGUUGUUCGGAAUUACUGGGCGUAAAGAGUGUGUAGGCGGUGUUCUAAGUUUUGUCGUGAAAUCUCCCGGCUUAACUGGGAGGGUGCGGCGAAAACUGGAAUGCUAGAGGAUGGGAGAGGUAAGCGGAAUUCCUGGUGUAGCGGUGAAAUGCGUAGAUAUCAGGAGGAACACCUGUGGUGUAGACAGCUUACUGGACCAUUUCUGACGCUGAGACACGAAAGCGUGGGUAGCAAACAGG